UAGAGUUGAUCAUGGCUCAGAUUGAACGCUGGCGGCAUGCCUUACACAUGCAAGUCGAACGGUAACAGGUCUUCGGACGCUGACGAGUGGCGAACGGGUGAGUAAUACAUCGGAACGUGCCCAGUCGUGGGGGAUAACUACUCGAAAGAGUAGCUAAUACCGCAUACGAUCUGAGGAUGAAAGCGGGGGACCUUCGGGCCUCGCGCGAUUGGAGCGGCCGAUGGCAGAUUAGGUAGUUGGUGGGAUAAAAGCUUACCAAGCCGACGAUCUGUAGCUGGUCUGAGAGGACGACCAGCCACACUGGGACUGAGACACGGCCCAGACUCCUACGGGAGGCAGCAGUGGGGAAUUUUGGACAAUGGGCGAAAGCCUGAUCCAGCAAUGCCGCGUGCAGGAUGAAGGCCUUCGGGUUGUAAACUGCUUUUGUACGGAACGAAAAAGCUCCUUCUAAUACAGGGGGCCCAUGACGGUACCGUAAGAAUAAGCACCGGCUAACUACGUGCCAGCAGCCGCGGUAAUACGUAAGGUGCGANACGUUAAUCGGAAUUACUGGGCGUAAAGCGU
rnacentral:rRNA from 1 species